rnacentral:rRNA from 1 species
GAGUUUGAUCAUGGCUCAGAUUGAACGCUGGCGGCAGGCCUAACACAUGCAAGUCGAGCGAACCUAGCUUGCUAGGUGAGCGGCGAACGGGUGAGUAACGCGUAGGAAUCUGCCCGAUAGUGGGGGACAACGUUCCGAAAGGGACGCUAAUACCGCAUACGCCCUACGGGGGAAAGCAGGGGAUCUUCGGACCUUGCGCUAUCGGAUGAGCCUGCGUCGGAUUAGCUAGUUGGCGGGGUAAAGGCCCACCAAGGCGACGAUCCGUAGCUGGUCUGAGAGGAUGAUCAGCCACACCGGAACUGAGACACGGUCCGGACUCCUACGGGAGGCAGCAGUGGGGAAUAUUGGACAAUGGGGGCAACCCUGAUCCAGCCAUGCCGCGUGUGUGAAGAAGGCCUUCGGGUUGUAAAGCACUUUAAGGGGGGAGGAAGGUUCGCUGGCGAAUACCCAGCGGAAUUGACG